AAAGGGCGGGACUAAUGCAGCAGGUUAGCGUGGGGAGUAGUGAGCACAUGUAGAGAAAGAAACCUGACCGGACUGAGAGCUAAGAGGAGGCAUCGUAGUGUGGGAAGCAGUUAAGUUUUAUCGUGAGGUCGACUACUCGUGGUCCUGAUUUAAACUUCUUUGUGACCUGCAAAAAGUCCGGCAGCUCUGGCGGUGUACUCCGGGAGUUGAACUGCCCCCGAAGCUUUCUUGCUGCUCCGGCAGGUGUCCUCCGGGAGAUGAAAAGCCUGGUGGGGGUAGCUCGGCAGCAGUCAGACAGCUCAGCUCCGGGAGUACAAUCCCUUUCUUCUCCAUGUCUCCUCCUCCGGACUAACGCCGAAGCUCCAGCAGUGCCG
ensembl:lncRNA